rnacentral:rRNA from 1 species
AUGCAUGAGCUGGCUCUACUACCAUGUAAGGCGAAGCAAUCAGCGAUCUCCAAACCACGAGCGGUCAGGCCAAGGGCGCCUCCAGCAGGCUACACCAAAAUACAAGUGGAUGCAGCAAUCUCGAAACUGCAUACAAGGGGAGCCGCGGCUGCAGUAUGUCGGGACGGAGCGGGAAACUUCUUGGGUAGUUCAGCCCUGACAGUCUGUGGCAUCAGCGACGUGGCGACGCUGGAAGCCUUAGCAUGCAGAGAAGGGCUGGCUCUUGCAGCUGAUCUAAUCUACAUAAUAUUAUCAUCGCUUCUGAUUCCAUGCAAGUCAUCAGUGAUAUUCAGAAAGGCAACGGCGGAAGAUAUGGUGCUAUCAUCACCGAGAUUAAAGCUAGAUCGUCUUGUUUUUUUAUGUAAUUUCAUGUUUGAAGGUAGAGCGGCAAAUCAUGACGCUGAUAGAUUAGCCAAGUUUGCUUAUUCAUUGGACCAAGGGAGGCACGUCUGGAUGUCGAUCCCACAUGAUCCUUUUUGUAUCCCACAAACUGUGGUAUUUGAAUGA